rnacentral:rRNA from 1 species
GAUGAACGCUGGCGGCGUACCUAAUACAUGCAAGUCGAGCGAACAGAUGAGGAGCUUGCUCCUCUGACGUUAGCGGCGGACGGGUGAGUAACACGUGGAUAACCUACCUAUAAGACUGGGAUAACUUCGGGAAACCGGAGCUAAUACCGGAUAAUAUAUUGAACCGCAUGGUUCAAUAGUGAAAGACGGUUUUGCUGUCACUUAUAGAUGGAUCCGCGCCGCAUUAGCUAGUUGGUAAGGUAACGGCUUACCAAGGCGACGAUGCGUAGCCGACCUGAGAGGGUGAUCGGCCACACUGGAACUGAGACACGGUCCAGACUCCUACGGGAGGCAGCAGUAGGGAAUCUUCCGCAAUGGGCGAAAGCCUGACGGAGCAACGCCGCGUGAGUGAUGAAGGUCUUCGGAUCGUAAAACUCUGUUAUUAGGGAAGAACAAAUGUGUAAGUAACUAUGCACGUCUUGACGGUACCUAAUCAGAAAGCCACGGCUAACUACGUG